GCUGCUGGCAUUCAAAGAGAUCGUUACCGAGAAUGGUGAUAGGUACUAAAAUGUGCUGGGUCUGCGGCAUUUUCCAUUAUGAAAGUUAAGUCAAAAAGAUUUUGUUUCGUUACGAGACUGUAUGGUUGCUGAAUGUAAAAUUUGUACAUGUUUAUUUACAGGAAAUCUAGCCUGUAAUUUCAAAUCUGCCAAAUCACCUUAUCAGUUAUCACGUGGCCUGAAACUGAUGUCGUUGCUUGCUACUUGUACCGGUUGUAUGUAUCAACCCGUGAAGAAACACUUGACAGCAAAACAUCUGAGUAUGAGCUGCAGCCAGUUGGUGGAAGGUGUGACAAGUCAGCUGUUGUAUUCAGUUUGUGAGGCAUCCCAUGCAAAAACCAGAAAUGAUUCCCAAAAAGGUGAAGGUGUGGUUCCACUAGGUGGCGGAGUGUCUGUUGGUGAGUGACGAAGCCGCCAUUUGCUUUUGAGACAUACCCGAAUGUGUUGCUGCCUAAUGACGGUGUUCUUCGCUUUUACAUGAAAAAAUGUGCCAUUCGACUAAGCUGAAUCGAAAGUGAACAAUUCUAAAGCAAUUUUAGCCUUUCUCCACGUGAUCGCUGCCGUGUGAUGAAGAUGCGUUUCUGAGAGGAUCUCUACUAUACUGCAAGACAAAAACGUGAUGAAACCAGGAAAUUUGAAAUGCAUCUGAGUAUGAGCUGCAGCCAGUUGGUGGAAGUUGUGAAUAUGUUAGCUGUUGCAAACAGUUUGUGAGGCAUCUCAUGCAGAAACCAAAAAUGAUAAGGUAACUAUGUUCAUUUAUUUCUCUUUAAGAAAGCUUUAGAUUAAGUAUUGGGAUACCAGAGAGUAGAUUUCAUUGCUUCAGUGUUGUAACAUUCAGUGAAGUCUGUGAACGUGUGGUUUUACAUUAUUUGAUUUUCAUCCUUUGCAUUUUUUUUUUUUUUUUCACAAAUUGGAAGUUAAAAGAAAAUUUUCACAGAGUGAUCUUUGUUCAUCUUCAUGAUAUCUUUUUCUAUAGUAAUCUAAAUUUGAAGUAUAUCAUUGGCAUUGCCUUAACUACAGUACAUUGUAACCAUUUAUGAUACAUUUGCAAGAUAAAGUCAAAUAUCAUUUGCAUAAAUUUUUUCUGUUUAGAGAUGUAUUUUUACUUAUCUAUUUUAAUUUUGUUACACGCACGUCGGAGAUCUCGCCUUUCUCAACGUGCGGUGCCGUGUCAACAAGAUGUCUCUUUGAUGAGGUCUACUAUAUUGCAAAAGAAACAUGUGAAGAAAACAGGAAAUCUGAAAUGGAUUCCAUGGUCCGUUUGAUGUUUGAGCUGUUUGUGGUGUUGCUGUUUGGUGUGAAGUGGGUUUGCAGUCAUUUUCAACUUGAGAGAUGCGCUGAAAUGGAGCUUCGUCAGACUUGCAGUUCAACAUCAUACUUCAAUGUGUUAUUUCCCUAUGUUUGUGUCCGUGCAGUGUUGAGCUGUUGGGCAAAACGAUCAAUGUUGUCUGAUGGCUGUCAGGCAUAUUUAUCUGCUGCAUUUUGUCAAUAUGUCGUCUCUUGCUACCUGUACGUUGAGGUAGUGCUUGAUGAGAACAGUAUCAUUUAAUGUUUCAGUCGUUAUUGCAGCCCAAGCUGGUGAAAGAUCUUUUUGCAUCAAGUAAAUCUGACUGUUUUUUUGUGUGUUGUUGGAGUGUUACGAAAGUUGCGUCAUUAUUGUGUUGAAUUGUCAUUGUGACUGCAGUUCACCGUUUAUAAUUUAGGAAGGGAAAAAAACAGAAUUAUGGGGAA